UGAAUGUUCAAAUUUGAGGAAUCCGAAAUGGAACAGAAGUAUCCUAUGUCAGAGAGGACACCAUUUAUGAUCCCUUAAACCUAUGGAUCAAAGUGUUAUUAAUCGCCGUUCCUCAUUUCCUUCCACUGCUGGGAUUUGACAAGGAUUUUCUUUCACCUUGAAAAACUGCACAUGGUGGAGAGUUUCUUUGCCUGAUUCCUGCAGUCUGAACAUAUCCUACUGGGUAAAGCCGUCUGAGGACCUGCCAGACUGUUCCCAUGACUCCUGCAGCAUAUGAGGCUCCCAGCUUCCCUGCAUCCUCACCAAACACGCGCUUUUUGGCGUCCUUUGGCCGCAGCCAGUCUUGCAGGUAUGAAGUGGUGCCUGGCUAAUGCUGAUUGCACAUAUUUUCCUGUGUUUAAUUAGCUCUUUGAAUAUGGUUUGUGCAGAAAUACCUACUCAGAUUCCUUGUCUGGUUUUAAUUGCUUUAUCUUUUUAUUAUUAACUUGUAAAUGUUCUUUAUAUAUUCUGAAUGCCUUUCCUUUAUGACACAUGUGAUUUAAAAAUGUUUUUUCCUUUGGAUUGUUGUUUUAUUUUUUUCAGUGGUAUCCCUUAAAAAACAAAUGUUUUUCAUUUUUAUAAAAUUAAUUUAUCUACUUUUUGUUUGCCUGCUUGCAUUUCUAAGAAUCUAUAACCUAAUCCAAAAAUCACAAAG